rfam:Bombyx mori DNA, contig: Bm_scaf29_contig18633, strain: p50T/Dazao, build 2, whole genome shotgun sequence.
UUAACUCAAAUUUGUAUGGAGUUGGAACGUUUGCCUACGUUUGCCGCUAGGGGCGCUGUUCCAACUGCAUACAAACUUAAGUUA